GUCAGGAUGGCCGAGUGGUUUAAAGCGCCAGACUCAAGUUUUGGUCCUCGUGAAAGGGUGUGGGAUCAAAUUCCACUUCUGACA
rnacentral:tRNA from 1 species